rnacentral:rRNA from 1 species
AUUGAACGCUGGCGGCAUGCCUUACACAUGCAAGUCGAACGGUAACAGGUUAAGCUGACGAGUGGCGAACGGGUGAGUAAUAUAUCGGAACGUGCCCAGUCGUGGGGGAUAACGUAGCGAAAGCUACGCUAAUACCGCAUACGAUCUACGGAUGAAAGCGGGGGAUCGCAAGACCUCGCGCAAGGGGAGCGGCCGAUAUCAGAUUAGGUUGUUUGUGAGGUAAAAGCUCACAAAGCCUGCGAUGUGUAGCUGGUCUGAGAGGACAGACCAGCCACACUGAAACUGAGACACGGUCCAGACUCCUACGGGAGGCAGCAGUGGGGAAUUUUGGACAAUGGACGCAAGUCUGAUCCAGCAAUGCCGCGUGCAGGACGAAGGCCUUCGGGUUGUAAACUGCUUUUGUACGGAACGAAACGGUGAGCUCUAAUACAGUUUGCUAAUGACGGUACCGUAAGAAUAAGCACCGGCUAACUACGUGCCAGCCGCCGCCGUAA